rnacentral:rRNA from 1 species
UACAGAGGUCCCAAGCGUUGUUCGGAUUCAUUGGGCGUAAAGGGUGCGUAGGCGGCGCGGUAAGUCGGGUGUGAAAUCUCGGGGCUUAACUCCGAAACUGCAUUCGAUACUGCCGUGCUUGAGGACUGGAGAGGAGACUGGAAUUUACGGUGUAGCGGUGAAAUGCGUAGAUAUCGUAAGGAAGACCAGUGGCGAAAGCGGCUUCCUGGUCCAGCACCGACGUUCAGGCACGAAAGCGUGGGGAGCAAACAGG